rnacentral:misc_RNA from 1 species
GUGAAUCAUCAAAUCUUUGAACGCAAAUUGCACUCUCUGGUAUUCCGGAGAGUAUGCCUGUUUGAGGGUCAGUUUAAAUAAAAAUCGUUGUGUUUUCUGCCUUUCUUGUUCACGCACCGUAUGUGGUUUUUCUUUCAUUCGGUUAAUGGACCUAAAAUUUUUCAUUAUUUUUUUCGAACUUAUUUAAAUGAUUUUACGUACGUUUGCGAUAUCUAAUACUAGUUGCGGUCAUCAUCUUGAUCCGCGCCU